AACGAACACUGGCGGCAGGCCUAACACAUGCAAGUCGAACGAGAAGCCACCUUCGGGUGGUGGAAAGUGGCAGACGGGUGAGUAACGCGUGGGAACGUGCCUUUCGGUUCGGAAUAACCCAGGGAAACUUGGGCUAAUACCGGAUAUGCCCUUAGGGGGAAAGAUUCAUUGCCGAAAGAUCGGCCCGCGUCGGAUUAGCUAGUUGGUAGGGUAAUGGCCUACCAAGGCGACGAUCCGUAGCUGGUCUGAGAGGAUGACCAGCCACACUGGGACUGAGACACGGCCCAGACUCCUACGGGAGGCAGCAGUGGGGAAUAUUGGACAAUGGGCGAAAGCCUGAUCCAGCCAUGCCGCGUGGGUGAAGAAGGCCUUAGGGUUGUAAGCCCCUUUCAGCGGGGAAGAUAAUGACGGUACCCGCAGAAGAAGUCCCGGCUAACUCCGUGCCAGCCGCCGCCGUAAGAC
rnacentral:rRNA from 1 species